GCUGCAGCCGGCCUCUAAAGUUAUUUUGAGGUUUUGAGAGUUCAACAUCUAAAAUUUAAAUUCUUUUGAGAUCUACCCCAUGUAACUUCUGACAUUUAAAAUGUACUGGCUGCAAGGCUUUUGUUAAAACACUUUAUAUUCGGAGAAAAGGGGAAAAAAAGGCAAUGUUCUCAAAUUUCCACAGACGCUGAAGCUUCUCGAGUUUUAUAGUUCAAAUUCUUCCUAUAGAAGAAAACAUCUACAGCAAGGACGUUUGAAUGUGGAAUUCCCUUAGAAUGUGGAUGCAUAAUGAUAAACAUAAGGAAGGGACUUGCAGCACCCGGUGAUCCCAGGAACAAAUGGCUGUCUGACAGGCAGUCUACUAGAUUUCAUAUUGCCGUGGCACUAUUUCAACACUGGUGGGUGUUGACACAAGAUGUGUAAAUCAAAGUACUGAAGCCAGGUGAUACAACAGAACUACCCUUUGAGUUCAGGGAUGCAGAAUGUAUUCAGCAAGCAAAACUGACCAAAAUCAUGCUUCAUCUAUCCAUGGUUGCCUGAAACAGUAGUCUAUAUUCAUGGAUCAAGACUUCAUUACUACUUGUUCUCCAGCUCAAAUACAAUCUGGCUCCCAUCGUGGCCACUCCUCUGCUUUCAUCAGAGUCACCAAUGUCUUCCAGAUGAUACAUCCAAGGUUUCUUCGUGACUGUAUUUAACUCUUAAAAUACAGUUUUUCAAACAGUGAUUCACUAAAGUACUCUGGAACCUAAGAGGCAUUUUCCCAUUAAGAUGAUGUGAUAAGACCAUUAACUAAAGGACAGUGAAGCAGAAUUGGAAAGGAAAAACUACAUUUCCAAAAUAUGCAGACUUUUAUAUACCACCAUCAAUAAUUUUUUUCUUCUGGAAUAGGCAUGUGCAAUUACACCAGUGUUGGAAUCCCUGCCCACAACGACUCUACCUGAACUGUAGAGCUGAUUUCUGAUGCAAAGCCACCUGUCAAAGGAGCUUCAUGACUGAUUAGCAGUCGUCCUGUUUUGAUCACAGACUGAAAGAGAAAAGAAAAACCUGAUGUUGGAGAAAAUAGGCAUUUCAAGCAUACAAUUUAAUUCAGCAAUAAAAAAUAAAUUACUCCGAUUCAAUACAUUAGAUAAAAAUCAGUAAUUCGAUUUUAUGCCAAAAAUUCUUUUUAAACUGCAUAGUCACCUGAAUUUUGUACUGUUAAAAAUUUUUUUCAAUAUAGUUCACAUUCCCAGUGCAAAAGAAAAAUUAGAUUGUAAUUCUAUAUGUGCAAUUAAAAAUUCAUGGCCAUUAAUAUAUUUUUCUGUGGAAAAUGAAUUACUGAAUUUCAUAUUUUACCUCAAUAUCAAUUAUUUCCUUCAUAUUAUUUUAAGAAUGAAAGUGCUUUCUCGUUCACUUUGAGGAAUACACAUAUAAAUAACAGCUCUCAUAAAUGUUGCUUGUAGAAAACACAGAAAUAGCUCAUAAAAGCUGUAGCAAAGGAAAAGUACAGCUACUACACAUUUGAGGAAACCCAGCAGCAAGAAACCACUACUAAAAUAAAAGGGUUAUGACCUUUGUUGUUAAUGAACACUGAAAUAUGGCUAAUGACCGUAACUCUGUUUUACUGUGGAAAGUGUCACAAACAAUAAGGAUAUGUUCGUGACAGUUUUUCACUGUGCUGGUUCACACUCUGCAUAACACACUUUGCCCAAGAAUAAAUCAGAAAGUAUAGCUUUGAUACCAUAACAGGAUGCCAGCUGUGUUGGGAGGUAAAAAUCAUUCAAAUCAACAGCAAGUUAUUGCUUAAAAUACACUGGACAAUUAUGUUACAAAAGAGAAGUAGUAAUUUCUUAAAAUUUCUAACAAUUUGUUAUCCCUUUUCUUAAAAACUAUUUUUGUUAGUUUGUAAAUAUUUUUAUGAAUGCAUGGUUUUACCCAAAUUCAUUCACUAUUCUAAACAGAAUUUUAAAAGUGUGUAGGAAUUUCACCAGUAGAAGCAAAACACUGAGAUAUGGUCAUUAUCUGUGGCAAAAAUAGGCUAUUAUAUCCACUAAAUAAUGAGUGACUAAACACCAUAAAAUUUUAUGAACACUUUAUGGAUAUCACCCCACUACCAAUGAAAUGCUAACCAAUUUUGAAAUAUUAGUAAUUUAGUGUUCUACAAAUCUGAUGAAUUAUGCAAUUUGUAAAAAUCACAAAUUAAAUUUCAAUGUACCUAGACAUAAAUAUGAGACAAAAAUAUUCCAAAAUUAGAAAAAGAAAUUUUCAAAGCGUUCUCUUAACAGUGUUCUAAGGAUGACCAACUACAAAAGCAGAUUCUGACAAUCAGUCCUUACAGCUCUAAAACCCAGAAUUCGGCCAACGUAGAAGGGUCUAACGGGGACAUAGCCAAAAUCCAUCUAAAAGCAUCUUAAAUUCCUGGCAGGAAGAAAUGAGGGAUUUCUAUAUAAAAAAAUGUUGGUGUUACCCUAAAGCCCCAUAUAAUGAAUUGCUCCUUUUUUCUGAGCCCAGGUGUAUACGGGAUCAUAUCACAACACUUUAGAACAAUUCUUGCAAGAAGCAAGGAGAGCAGAUGGUCCAGGCUUCUGUAGCCUGUUGAGUGGAGGGGAAAACAAAGCACAGGUGGACCUAAACCCAUGGGGUUCAUGCAACACAGUGUGUAAGCACAGGAAUGCUGGAAACCUUCUGAGAGUCCUUUGGUAGAGGAAUAGCUACAAUCAAGGGGACUUCAAGAAGGUUUGUAGGAAAAUAGAAGUAAAAGACAAGUUUAUUUUGAUUCAAACAAGCCUGAAAUUCAUGCACAGUUGUUUUUAAUAAAUAUAUUUCUCGUGAA